AAAGUCGUAACAAGGUAUCCGUAGGUGAACCUGCGGAUGGAUCAUUAUCAAAUCAAUAUAACGUUAUCCCAAAAUAACGUUUAUAUAAACCAAUCUGUGAACUGUUCUCUGCCUUUGAGAAGUGAGAGUAAUGGAUCGAAAGAUACACGAGUUUUUAUAGUGAACUCUUUUUUUCGAUUCGUUCUAUGGAUUUAAUCGUUCAUAGAAGCUCUUAUUUUUCAAAGUGUAUAUCACUAUUAAACAUUAACCAAUUUAACCAAAUAUACUAAUAUUUUAUUCUAUGUGUGAACUGAAUUGUUUUCUUACUCUUACCUAAAAACUGAGAGAAGAAAUCUAUUCUACGAAACAUAUUGAACAACUCUUAGCAACGGAUAUCUUGGUUCUC
rnacentral:misc_RNA from 1 species